AUAUUGUAAACACGUAAUUCAGGGCUGGUUGUACCGGCCUCAUAAAUGCCAUCAGAAUCCAUGGUGACAGCUCAUGAAAGUAUCUGCCAUCAAGAAGUACUGUGGUCAGUGAAAGCAAAGUGGCACUGCAAGCACUGACCUGGGUCUGGAUCAGCCUUUUGCUGCUCUCCGUUAAGGACCGACCACAUGCAAGAAGCAGCAGUGAAGCAUUUCAUUAACUAGCAGAGCCAAACUUCAAUCUUCCAAGCCUUCACCAACAAAGGAAUUGCCAGCAGUCAUUAGAGAGACAAUGUGGCUAUGGUCUGAAGUGUGUUGGCAUUUCUAACAAAGAACCUCAGCUGCAGAAAGGAGGGCAGGAGUGAAGGAAGGGAGGUAAAAUGAGGCCUUUGGAAUUUGAUCUCCACAAGUUUCCCAGCAGAACACCAGUAAAUCCCUGCUGUCAAAAAAGAGAGUCCAGCAGUUCAACUAAUGUCUCCUGAGCCAGAAUGCAGAAUUUGUGAACUCAAGGCCUGAGUGUCAGCAGAAGGACAAAGGUCUGGAGUGAAGCCUGCUGAAAGUGACAAGCUCAGCCUUGGGCACUGAAGAUGAAAAACAAGAGUGUGUGGAACUGAGCAAAGAAUGAAAGCCCUGUGGAAGAGUUCGUGGCCUUUCAGGAAUGUCUCACAGAAAUAAUUUAAUAGAGAAUGAAAUUCAUCAUCUGCCAUCUGUUCAGGGCUGAUUUUAGGCUUUUAAUGGCAAACGAUGCUUCCAGGAAGAGAAAGUAGAAUUAAGGCAAUACGAAGAAUGCACUGAACUGGGACCUGGAGGAUAGAGAUUCAAAUUCUGGUGCACUGCAACAACUUAAUGCAAUGCUCAAAGACACCUUCAGGAGGAGAAAAAUAUAAUGAAGAUAACGUAUAGAGAAGAAACAGAUAUGUGGCUUGGAGGGUACAGAUUUGACUUGCAGUGCCUUGCAACACCUUCCUGUGAGUAAGUGAGUUUAAAUAGUGCCUUUGCUCAAUGAAGAGAGGAUGUUCCUACCUUACUACCUUUAAUUGCAAUACAUCUGCACAAAUUGUUGCUUAAUCACAAAUAAUUUUCUCUUCCCCACCUCUGGUCUUACAUUAGAGACUUUGAUAACACAGAAGAGGGUGUGCAAAUAGUUUUCAUAGCUGUGUUAAGUUAAUCAUCCCUGUUGAUGAUAUUAAUAUUUAACUAGCUGUAAGAGCUUGAAACAGUCUCAGUCUUUGGUUCACUGUAGUCAGCUUGCAAGUGAAACCAUUAGAGCUAUAAUUUUUUAUAGGUAUCAUCCACAAUUGCUAAAGAAAUGGUAUGCUAUGCUUACAGGGACAGAUAGGAGACUUUGAUCAAGUCUGUUUCUCAUUUUCCAGCUGAAAGUCAGGAGUCUAUUAGUUGCGUCCAGCCACACUGUACUUUAUUUCAGGUUGCAUUAAUGUGAAGCAUUUACUAUUAACUAUACAUUCACAACACUUUGCUUUGUGUCAACUGGAGAUUUUAUCUAAAGAAUUGGUAACAUAGAUUCUGUGAUUGUGGAGUUGCAAAAUGGAAAUAAGGGUCAGAGUGAUGAAACUGCAGCCUCUGUAGUUGCUAUGGAACAGAUGUGCCUCUAGGUGAUCUAAAUCACAUAAAGGAGUGGGUAAAACUGAGGGCCUCUCAUCCUCCAAAUGCACAGCAAUAAACAAAUGUCCCACCUUA